rnacentral:tRNA from 1 species
GCGGGUAUAGUUUAAUGGUAAAACACCAGCUUCCCAAGCUGGGGAUGGGGGUUCGAUUCACCCUAUCCGCU